rnacentral:lncRNA from 1 species
CACAUCUUUUUUUCUUUUUUUUCUUUUUUUUCUUUUUUCAUUUUUACCAACCGUCCCUAGAGCAAGUGGCAAAGGGCUUGGUGGUUAGUACCUGAGACCCAAGUUCGAAUCUUAGUUGAUUCAUANAUAACUAUACUUUUAAAUGUCGGCACAACACAGGACGAAGCCAAUUACGGUAUUUUGAAAAAAAGUAAAAUUACGAGCAAAUUUAAUUUACGAUAAAUCAACAAAAAAAA